GUGCGACCAAGCAAACGGGCAACAAGUAGGGUUUCAAGACUGGGCUCUUACGGUGUGCUGCCCGCAGGCGGGGCACACGGGUUGAUGCAGCAAAGCCUGAGAGAGACGCAUCCUAGGUUAUCGUGCUGACGAGAAGCAGACGCGCAGGAGAAACGGCACGUCCGGCCCGGCGCGCGGAACCCUGCCGAUGUCACGGAGAGCUGAAAGUGAAACUGGAAGGAGGGAGUUUGGUCUGGAGCCCGAGAAACGUUGACCAGAGAGAGCGAAAGAAACUCAGUUUACAGAGACGUCUUUCCACGUAACCGACGGUGGGCGACUCCACAGAGCAGGGCUGCGGAGGAGUUGGGCCUAGGAUCCCCCAUGGACACAGCCUCAAGGCCGGGGCCGGGGACACUGGGAAGCCGGGAGAAGGCUCUGACCCCUGCAGGGCCCCAUCCCGUCCAGGGGUGCGCAAGGGCCCCCCAGCCGGAAGGGACAACGGGGUGUCUGGCAACCUCGGGGACGACAUUUAGCAAAAGCUCCUGCGGAUGACUGGGCCGGGCUGCUCUGUCCCCCCUGGCGCCGGGCCCGCCGCGCAGAGCCGGAGGAAGCCCCACAGCCCGGACCGGUGUUGGGGUUUGCCAGUUGGCUGGCUCCGAUGGGGGUCGUUGCAGGUGCUCACUGAAGGUGCGAUCUGUCCGGCCCAGGGACACUGGACGGUGACACCGCACCGAUGGCCUUUGAAGCCCACAGACGACGACCGUUUGGUCCUUAGCAAGGCCUUGGGGGUGGAGGCGACCGCUCUGAGACAGCUGCCCCUCCGGGGCUGCAGGGGCAAUGGGCCUCCUGCCUGGGUGUCCUGCGGUCGGACGGCGGGAGUGCCAGCGGGGGCCCUCUGCUCCCCGGCAGGCGGGGACACUCACAGUGACACCAGUGUCCCGGCGGGAGCGACCCUCGUCAGCUGGGGGCGCUUCACCUGGGGGAGGGGCGCUCCUUCGCCCUGAUUUUUUUUCCUUUCGGGUUUGAGGCCAGCCAUUGGCCUAAUUCCUGGGCAGCGUGCGUUUUGAGGGAGACAAAACGGUCUUUUUGGCAUAACGGUAGGAUCUGGAAGGCCCCCAGAUAAAAAACGCACGGGCCCCUCGUCACGUGGGCCCGUAAGUGCCAGCUGUCACUCCGCACCGGCCUGCCUUCUGAAGACUAACCUUCCCGUCACCCCCGCGUGCCUCCCUCACUCGUCCUAUUAUGCAGCGCGGGGCUGAGUCAUUGUUUCAAGCAGGGGGUGACAUGGUAAUAGCUUAAUAAUAGUAUAA